GAUGAACGCUGGCGGCGUGCCUAAUACAUGCAAGUCGAGCGAACAGACGAGGAGCUUGCUCCUCUGACGUUAGCGGCGGACGGGUGAGUAACACGUGGAUAACCUACCUAUAAGACUGGGAUAACUUCGGGAAACCGGAGCUAAUACCGGAUAAUAUAUUGAAGCGCAUGGUUCAAUAGUGAAAGACGGUUUUGCUGUCACUUAUAGAUGGAUCCGCGCCGCAUUAGCUAGUUGGUAAGGUAACGGCUUACCAAGGCAACGAUGCGUAGCCGACCUGAGAGGGUGAUCGGCCACACUGGAACUGAGACACGGUCCAGACUCCUACGGGAGGCAGCAGUAGGGAAUCUUCCGCAAUGGGCGAAAGCCUGACGGAGCAACGCCGCGUGAGUGAUGAAGGUCUUCGGAUCGUAAAACUCUGUUAUUAGGGAAGAACAAAUGUGUAAGUAACUAUGCACGUCUUGACGGUACCUAAUCAGAAAGCCACGGCUAACUACGUG
rnacentral:rRNA from 1 species